rnacentral:ncRNA from 1 species
AUCUGUUAAUAAUCACCUAACCUAGACCUUUAAUCUACACUGCAUAACCUUCUAAAUCAUCGACCCAUAACCCAUAACCCUUCUUAAGAUGUAAUGCGAUUUAUUCCCAUUGCUCUGCAUGUCAAAGUGAAAAAAUCCAACCAAUCUUGGGUAAACUGCAGGAGUAAAUAUGACUCUCUUAAGGUAGUUAGAUGCCUCGUCAUCUAAUUAGUGAUGUGCAUGAAUGGUUGAUUAACGAGAUUUCUCAUUGUUCCUAGCUACCAUAUUCUAAAGAAACCACGUGCAAGGGAAUGGGCUUGGCAGAAUUAGUGGGGAAAAAAGACAAUGUUGAACUUGACUCUAGUCCUAACCCAUUUAUAGUUUGGGA